rnacentral:misc_RNA from 1 species
GAUGAAGAACGUAGCGAAAUGCGAUAAGUAAUGUGAAUUGCAGAUUUCAGUGAAUCAUCGAAUCUUUGAACGCACCUUGCGCCUUGUGGUAUUCCACAAGGCAUGCCCGUUUGAGUAUCAUUAAAUCAUCAACUCUAAAACCUUUGUGGUUUUUUUAGAGCUUGGUCUUGAGGGUUUUGCAUGCUUUUUUUUUUUCGAGUCUGCUUCCUUUAAAUGCAUUAGCGAGACUUCCCUAUGCUGAACCGUCUCUUUGACGUGAUAAUUAUCUGCGUCGAAUUUUGGUUCUCGUUGGGCUUGCUUCUAAUCGUCUGUUAAAGACAAAACGGAUUUGGGUGCAUAUAUGCGCCUUUUUCCAAAACCUUUUUUGAUCUCAAAUCGGGUAGGACUACCCGCUGAACUUAAGCAUAUCAAUAAGCGGAGGA